CAGCAGUCGCCGCGGUAAUACGAAGGGUGCAAGCGUUACUCGGAAUUACUGGGCGUAAAGCGUGCGUAGGUGGUGGUUUAAGUCUGUUGUGAAAGCCCUGGGCUCAACCUGGGAAUUGCAGUGGAUACUGGGUCACUAGAGUGUGGUAGAGGAUAGUGGAAUUUCCGGUGUAGCAGUGAAAUGCGUAGAGAUCGGAAGGAACAUCUGUGGCGAAGGCGACUAUCUGGGCCAACACUGACACUGAGGCACGAAAGCGUGGGGAGCAAACAGGAUUAGAUACCCCCGUAGUCCCUGUCUCUUAUAC
rnacentral:rRNA from 1 species